rnacentral:rRNA from 1 species
ACGCACGCUGGCGGCAUGCCUAACCCCUGCAAGUCGCACGCGACCUUCGGGUCUAGUGGCGCACGGGUGCGUAACGCGUGGGAACCUGCCCUUAGGUUCGGAAUAACUCCCCGAAAGGGGUGCUAAUACCGGAUAAUGUCUUCGGACCAAAGAUUUAUCGCCUUUGGAUGGGCCCGCGUUGGAUUAGCUAGUUGGUAGGGUAAAAGCCUACCAAGGCGACGAUCCAUAGCUGGUCUGAGAGGAUGAUCAGCCACACUGGGACUGAGACACGGCCCAGACUCCUACGGGAGGCAGCAGUGGGGAAUAUUGGACAAUGGGCGAAAGCCUGAUCCAGCAAUGCCGCGUGAGUGAUGAAGGCCUUAGGGUUGUAAAGCUCUUUUACCCGGGAUGAUAAUGACAGUACCGGGAGAAUAAGCUCCGGCUAACUCCGUG